CACGAACCGUACGAACGUUAUUCGGAAUCACUGGGCUUAAAGAGUACGUAGGCGGCUUAGAAAGUUGGGUGUGAAAGCCCUCGGCCCAACCGAGGAACUGCGCUCAAAACUACUAAGCUUGAGGGAGACAGAGGUGAGCGGAACUGAUGGUGGAGCGGUGAAAUGCGUUGAUAUCAUCAGGAACACCGGUGGCGAAGGCGGCUCACUGGGUCUCUUCUGACGCUGAGGUACGAAAGCUAGGGGAGCGAAC
rnacentral:rRNA from 1 species